UGCCCCUCACUUGCCAAUACGUCUAGAUCAGCCAGGGCGUCGGCAUGUGUAGCGUAUUAUGUUGGGCUCUCUCGAGAUAAGGAUACGAUGUCCCUUUAUCGGUUGGUUUCCUGUGUGCGCGGCCCGUUCGUUUUUUUGUUACUUUCGCAUCGUUCGGUGCAUUCUGGGGGCUGUGUUGGCUUUUGGUGGCUUGCUUGGCCUUAUGGCUUUGCUUGUUGCUACUUGUCGGGCUGCUUUCGGGAAUGUCGACCGUGGAGGUGCAUGAGUGGUGUUUGGUUUGUUACGUGUGGAUGGCUGUUUGCUUGUGCAACAACGUUCACGCUGCAUACCUCUUCAGUUUUGCGGCAAGGCUUGGUUUGGCUUGUGCAUAUUGUGGGUUUCCUGUGUUGCAUACCUAGUUGAUGGAAAAGUGUGGGUUUUACGAUUUUCAUUUUCGUCUUGCGUCGUUCUUUUGGCGUGGGAUGAACAAUGAAGCGAUCUUUAUGAUCCAUCGUGCUGUUGCGUUUGCAACAAUGAUGUGGCCUACGAAGCAUCGUUUGGUCUCUUGUAUACGGAAGCUCAUUUGGGCUUGGGUCUUUAUAAGAUCUUCGUUAUGCCCUUGUUAAGCGUUCUCGCUUCUCCUAAACGAUUG
rnacentral:misc_RNA from 1 species